AGAGUUUGAUCCUGGCUCAGGACGAACGCUGGCGGCGUGCCUAACACAUGCAAGUCGAGCGGAGACAGUGAGUAGCUUGCUAUGAGCUGUUUUAGCGGCGGACGGGUGAGUAACGCGUGAGCAACCUUUCCCAGACAGGGGAAUAACACACCGAAAGGUGUACUAAUACCGCAUAAGACCACGGGAUCACAUGGUUCUGGGGUAAAAGAUUUAUCGGUUUGGGGUGGGCUCGCGUCCGAUUAGGUAGUUGGUGAGGUAACGGCCCACCAAGCCGACGAUCGGUAGCCGACCUGAGAGGGUGAUCGGCCACAUUGGGACUGAGACACGGCCCAAACUCCUACGGGAGGCAGCAGUGGGGAAUAUUGCACAAUGGGGGAAACCCUGAUGCAGCGACGCCGCGUGAGCGAAGAAGUAUUUCGGUAUGUAAAGCUCUAUCAGCAGGGAAGAUAAUGACGGUACCUGACUAAGAAGCCCCGGCUAACUACGUGCCAGCAGCCGCGGUAAUACGUAGGGGGCAAGCGUUGUCCGGAAUAAUUGGGCGUAAAGGGCGCGUAGGCGGCUCGGUAAGUCUGGAGUGAAAGUCCUGCUUUUAAGGUGGGAAUUGCUUUGGAUACUGUCGGGCUUGAGUGCAGGAGAGGUUAGUGGAAUUCCCAGUGUAGCGGUGAAAUGCGUAGAGAUUGGGAGGAACACCAGUGGCGAAGGCGACUAACUGGACUGUAACUGACGCUGAGGCGCGAAAGUGUGGGGAGCAAACAGGAUUAGAUACCCUGGUAGUCCACACUGUAAACGAUGAAUGCUAGGUGUAGGGGGUAUCGACCCCUUCUGUGCCGCAGUCAACACAAUAAGCAUUCCGCCUGGGGAGUACGGCCGCAAGGUUGAAACUCAAAGGAAUUGACGGGGGCCCGCAC
rnacentral:rRNA from 1 species